UGGGGAAUAUUGCACAAUGGGCGAAAGCCUGAUGCAGCGACACCGCGUGAGGGAUGACGGCCUUCGGGUUGUAAACCUCUUUCAGCGGGGAAGAAGCGAAAGUGACGGUACCUGCAGAAGAAGCGCCGGCUAACUACGUGCCAGCAGCCGCGGUAAUACGUAGGGCGCAAGCGUUGUCCGGAAUUAUUGGGCGUAAAGAGCUCGUAGGCGGCUUGUCACGUCGAUUGUGAAAGCUCGGGGCUUAACCCCGAGUCUGCAGUCGAUACGGGCUAGCUAGAGUGUGGUAGGGGAGAUCGGAAUUCCUGGUGUAGCGGUGAAAUGCGCAGAUAUCAGGAGGAACACCGGUGGCGAAGGCGGAUCUCUGGGCCAUUACUGACGCUGAGGAGCGAAAGCGUGGGGAGCGAACAGGAUUAGAUACCCUGGUAGUCCACGCCGUAAACGGUGGGCACUAGGUGUUGGCGACAUUCCACGUCGUCGGUGCCGCAGCUAACGCAUUAAGUGCCCCGCCUGGGGAGUACGGCCGCAAGGCUAA
rnacentral:rRNA from 1 species